GAUCUCUUUCGUAGAGAGGCGCUUGGGUGAGUACUGCGUGGGUAACCUUCCCUGAACACACGGAUAACAUACCGAAAGGUAUACUAAUACGGGAUAACAUACGAAAGUCGCAUGGCUUUUGUAUCAAAGCUCCAGCGGUACAGGAUGGACCCGCAUCUGAUUACCUAUCUCGUAAGGUAAUGGCUUACCAAGGCAACGAUCAAUACCCGACCUGAGAGGGUGAUCGGCCACACUGGAACUGACACAGGGUCCAAACCUAUACGGGAAGCAACAGUGGGGAAUAUUGCACAAUGGGCGAAAGCCUGAUGCAACAACGCCGCGUGAGCCAUGAAGGCCUUCGGGUCGUAAAGCUCUGUCCUCAAGGAAGAUAAUGACGGUACUUGAGGAGGAACCCCCGGCUAACUACGUGCCAACAGCCGCGGUAAUACGUAGGGGGCUAGCGUUAUCCGGAAUUACUGGGCGUAAAGGGGGCGUAGGUGGUUUUUUAAGUCAGAAGUGAAAGGCUACGGCUCAACCGUAGUAAGCUUUUGAAACUAGAGAACUUGAGUGCAAGAGAGGAGAGUAGAAUUCCUAGUGUAGCGGUGAAAUGCGUAGAUAUAAGGAGGAAUACCAGUAGCGAAUGCCGCUCUCUGGACUGUAUUUGACACUGUGGCACUGAAAGCU
rnacentral:rRNA from 1 species